GCAUAGCUCAGUGGAAGAGGAUGUGCUUUGCAUGCAGAAAGUCCCAGGUUCCAUUCCUGACAGCUCCA